rnacentral:rRNA from 1 species
UACAGAGGUGGCAAGCGUUGUUCGGAAUUACUGGGCGUAAAGGGCGCGUAGGCGGCCUUCUAAGUCAGACGUGAAAUCCCCCGGCUUAACCUGGGAACUGCGUCUGAUACUGGGAGGCUUGAGUAUGGGAGAGGGAUGCGGAAUUCCAGGUGUAGCGGUGAAAUGCGUAGAUAUCUGGAGGAACACCGGUGGCGAAGGCGGCAUCCUGGACCGACACUGACGCUGAGGAGCGAAAGCCAGGGGGAGA